rnacentral:sRNA from 1 species
CUUGGAGAGCCUUUAAGCUCCUUCGUUUUGUCCCCACCACGUAAUCCUUACAAAGAGUGAGAAUUAUUCUGACCCACAGAACUGCACUCUUUGUUCUUUAAUAACUGGCAGAAAUAAUAUUCCCACUAGCACACUGCUGCUACCAUCUGUGGCAUCUCCCAAACCAGAGCUCAGAUUGUUGCAGAAAAAGGCUGUCGUUGAAUUCUACUCUUGUUGUGUUGCAUUGGUCAGAGGGUAUAUUCAGUGAAUGACAGUUAUUCUUUUUAUUUUUUCCUCAAAACAGAGACAACCUUCUAUCCGAGUUGUCAAAAUAUAUUUCAUACCAUCA